AUAUUAUGAUUUGGGCACUUGCUGAGUAACAAAUAGAAUCUUUCCCAUGUAUCAGAGAAAGACUCGACAUCUUCUUGCUCAAAAAUCGUAAUCGCAACUUUUCUUUC